UCACAUAAAAUAUCUUUUAAUAAAUUUUUGUUUUAAAACAUAGUAACAAUUCAUAAUUAAUAUAUAUUUGAUAAUUUCAAAUCUCAUGUUAACAUAUCAUACUUACUUACAAAAUAUGAAUGUAAUCUCAGUGUAUAGAAAAUUUGACUUUAAAUAAUGCGUAUCAUUGGAAAAGACGAGGUUCAAUUUAGGCUUACUAGUAUAGCCUUGAAUUUCAACUUUAUCAUAAAAUUUCAAAUAGCCAUGAUUUUGUUCUUAAAUAGAUCUAUCAAUUUCCAAAAAAAUCCAAAAUCUCAAUAAAGUACCUCCUUUAGUUUAGCAUGAACUAUUCAACUAAGUAAUUACAAAUUAAAUCAAGAAAAUAAAGAAAUUAAAUUACAUUGUAUAUAAAUAAAAGACAAAUAUUUGGUAAUACAUAAACAUUAUUAAGAUUAAAGUACAAUUGCAAUCUUAUGAUGCACUACAAAGAUUUCCACAAUAAAUAAUAGGUACAUGUACUUAGGGAGCUACCAUUUGAUUUUUAUGGGGGGGGGCUAGGAUGAAAAAUUUGGUCCUGCUUUUUUUUUAGUUGUAAUCCCUGUCCUGCCUUUUUAUUUUUUACUCUAUUCGGUCCUGCCUUUUUUUUACUAGUUUAUCCUGACUUUUUUACCUAAAUUGUCAUCCUGCCUUUUUUUUUGCAAAGUGUCUCAUCCUGCCUUUUUUUUUACUCAAAACUCCUGUCCUGCCUAUUUUUUUCAAAUUUCAUCCUAGCCCCCCCCCAUAAAAAUCAAAUGGUAGCUCCCUUAUGAUGCACUACAAAGAUUUCCAAAAUAAAUAAUAGGUACAUGUACUUAGAAAAUAUGAUUGAUCCUAGCCCCAGAGUGAUUGUUUUAAAAACAGGACAAACAUUUUGUAAAACAAGAAUGUACGUGUACAUAGUACAUGGAUGCCCCACUCAAUCUAUCAUUUUCUAUGUUCAGUAAAACGUGAAAUCAUGGUCAAACUAUAAAUUGGCAUACAAAUUAGGAACACCAUAUCAUAGAAAUCAUGUGUACUAAGUAUAAAGUUGAUUGGAAUUUAACUUCAUCUAAAAUUAUCUCGACUUAAAAAACUUUAACCUGAAGCAAUGCAGACGAGCAGACUGACACAGACUGAAAAACGUUGGGUCAUAAAAAAUUGAAAUACAGCUAAAGCUAUACACAAUCGUGCAUAAAUGAGAUCUUUUUUCAAACUGACCAAACCAACCAAUUAUAAACUAAAUUGAAAAAAAAAAACAUGAGUUAAAAUACAUGUACCUAGUGUUAUAGACAUGCAUAACAAACAAUGGCAGGAGUAUUAAAAAAAAAAACUUUAAAAGAAAUCUUACAGAGAUUCAAAAUAUUUUAAUGGGCCAAUUAUGGCAGCCUAUUAUGGAUUAUGUUAUUGUAAUCAUUCAUAACAAAAUUAAUGCAUACAAUUUUGGGCUCUAUAGCUUGUUGUUCUGUGUGAGCCAUGUUGAAGGCCGUACAUUGACCUAUAAUGGUUUACUUAUUUUAAAUUGUUAUUUGGAUGGAGUGUUGUCUCAUUGGCACUCACACCACAUCUUCCUAUAUCUAUAAUAAUUAAAAUCAAUGAUUAAUAAAAUGGAGAAUGAAAAUAAGGAAUGUGUUAAAGAGCAGUGACAGAUCCAAGGGAUUGGGGGUUUGAACCGGCCAUUGAACAUCGCCCUUCUUUUUUUUUUAACGAUCAAUGCUUUUGAUUGGGAACAAAUGGUUGGAAUCCCCUAUUCAAAAUGGCUUGAUCCGCUCCUGAAGAGAUAACAAUGAUAAGCUAUAAAGAAAUGACAAAAUAAUGACAAAAAGAACCUAAAUGUUAACAUAAUGUUUCCGUAAAUAAUGCUGAGUUCACAUGUAAUUCGAAUUUGAUUCGUAUCAAUAUAAAAAAAUUAGUUUAAUUCGCAUUCGAAAACGUUUAACGUCAAUUCUAAUUUGAAUUGCAAAGCGUGUCAAAUUCCCUUUACUCUCCAAACGACGUUAACUUUUAAUUCGCAUAUUUCUAAUGCGAAUUAGAUAAUUGGAAUUAGCCAAUUUGAAUCAAUUCGAAUUAAAAAAGAAGAGUGUGUGAACGCGAUAAGCGAAUUAGAUUCGCAUUCAAUUUGAAUUAAAUGUACAUGUGAAUGAGGGAUAAAAUACACAAUAUCAAAAUAACCACAUAUACCAAUUUGUUGUACUAAUUACACAAUAAAUUACCUUACAUUAAAACCAUCAUUUAUUUAUGUCUGCAAAGCCUUGCAAACAUAUACAUGUAUAGGACACAAAAAUUUAAUUUUUCCUCAAUUGAUUAUAAUUAAUACCCACAAAAAUAAAUGAUCCGCAUUUAUAUAUAACAUACAAUUCAAUGGCACAAGACAUUGCAAGAUGCUGGCAAGAAAAUUUUGAAGAAAAAAUAAUCUUUUUAUACAUGAAUACUGUAUAUUGAUUAUUGUAAUGGAGUAUGUCUAAUUUCACUACUUUCACGAAAAA
rnacentral:lncRNA from 1 species